GCUUGUCUCAAAGAUUAAGCCAUGCAUGUCUAAGUAUAAACUGCUUUAUACUGUGAAACUGCGAAUGGCUCAUUAAAUCAGUAAUAAUUUAUUUGAUGGUACCUACUACUCGGAUACCCGUAGUAAAUCUAGAGCUAAUACGUGCGUAAAUCCCGACUUCUGGAAGGGACGUAUUUAUUAGAUAAAAGGCCGACCGGGCUCUGCCCGACUCGCGGUGAAUCAUGAUAACUUCACGAAUCGCAUGGCCUCGUGCCGGCGAUGUUUCAUUCAAAUUUCUGCCCUAUCAACUUUCGAUGGUAAGGUAUUGGCUUACCAUGGUUACAACGGGUAACGGGGAAUUAGGGUUCGAUUCCGGAGAGGGGGCCUGAGAAAUGGCCACCACUUCCAAGGAAGGCAGCAGG
rnacentral:rRNA from 1 species